rnacentral:rRNA from 1 species
UACGUAGGGGGCAAGCGUUGUCCGGAUUUAUUGGGCGUAAAGAGCGUGUAGGCGGCCAGAUAGGUCCGUUGUGAAAACUCGAGGCUCAACCUCGAGACGCCGAUGGAAACCAUCUGGCUAGAGUCCGGAAGAGGAGAGUGGAAUUCCUGGUGUAGCGGUGAAAUGCGCAGAUAUCAGGGAGAACACCCGUGGCUAAGGCGGCUCUCUAGUACGGUACUGACGCUGAGACGCGAAAGCGUGGGGAGCGAACAGG